GCCGAACGCUGGCGGCGUGCUUAACACAUGCAAGUCGAACGGAGUGGCGAACGGGUGAGUAACACGUGGGUGACCUGCCCUGCACUUCGGGAUAAGCCUGGGACACUGUGUCUAAUACCGGAUAGUGUGGGAUGGGCCCGCGGCCUAUCAGGUUGUGGGUGGGGUAAUGGCCUACCAAGGCGGCGACGGGUCGCCGGCCUGAGAGGGUGGACGGACAAAGUGGGACGGAGACACGGCCCAGACUCAUACGGGAGGCAGGAGUGGGGAAUAUUGCACAAGGGGCGGAAGCAUGAUGCAGCGACGCCGCGUGGGGGAUGACGGCCUUCGGGUUGUAAACUCCUUUCACCAUCGACGCGGUAGAUGGAGAAGAAGCACCGGCUAAAUACGUGACAGCAGCCGCGGUAAGUC
rnacentral:rRNA from 1 species